UUAAGCGACUAAGCGUACACGGUGGAUGCCCUGGCAGUCAGAGGCGAUGAAGGACGUGCUAAUCUGCGAUAAGCGUCGGUAAGGUGAUAUGAACCGUUAUAACCGGCGAUUUCCGAAUGGGGAAACCCAGUGUGUUUCGACACACUAUCAUUAACUGAAUCCAUAGGUUAAUGAGGCGAACCGGGGGAACUGAAACAUCUAAGUACCCCGAGGAAAAGAAAUCAACCGAGAUUCCCCCAGUAGCGGCGAGCGAACGGGGAGCAGCCCAGAGUCUGAAUCAGCUUGUGUGUUAGUGGAACGGUCUGGAAAGUCCGACGGUACAGGGUGAUAGUCCCGUACACCAAAAUGCACAGGUUGUGAACUCGAAGAGUAGGGCGGGACACGUGGUAUCCUGUCUGAAUAUGGGGGGACCAUCCUCCAAGGCUAAAUACUCCUGACUGACCGAUAGUGAACCAGUACCGUGAGGGAAAGGCGAAAAGAACCCCGGCGAGGGGAGUGAAAAAGAACCUGAAACCGUGUACGUACAAGCAGUGGGAGCACCUUCGGGUGUGACUGCGUACCUUUUGUAUAAUGGGUCAGCGACUUAUAUUCUGUAGCAAGGUUAACCGUAUAGGGGAGCCGCAGGGAAACCGAGUCUUAACUGGGCGUUAAGUUGCAGGGUAUAGACCCGAAACCCGGUGAUCUAGCCAUGGGCAGGUUGAAGGUUGGGUAACACUAACUGGAGGACCGAACCGACUAAUGUUGAAAAAUUAGCGGAUGACUUGUGGCUGGGGGUGAAAGGCCAAUCAAACCGGGAGAUAGCUGGUUCUCCCCGAAAGCUAUUUAGGUAGCGCCUCGUGAAUUCAUCUCCGGGGGUAGAGCACUGUUUCGGCAAGGGGGUCAUCCCGACUUACCAACCCGAUGCAAACUGCGAAUACCGGAGAAUGUUAUCACGGGAGACACACGGCGGGUGCUAACGUCCGUCGUGAAGAGGGAAACAACCCAGACCGCCAGCUAAGGUCCCAAAGUCAUGGUUAAGUGGGAAACGAUGUGGGAAGGCCCAGACAGCCAGGAUGUUGGCUUAGAAGCAGCCAUCAUUUAAAGAAAGCGUAAUAGCUCACUGGUCGAGUCGGCCUGCGCGGAAGAUGUAACGGGGCUAAACCAUGCACCGAAGCUGCGGCAGCGACGCUUAUGCGUUGUUGGGUAGGGGAGCGUUCUGUAAGCCUGUGAAGGUGUGCUGUGAGGCAUGCUGGAGGUAUCAGAAGUGCGAAUGCUGACAUAAGUAACGAUAAAGCGGGUGAAAAGCCCGCUCGCCGGAAGACCAAGGGUUCCUGUCCAACGUUAAUCGGGGCAGGGUGAGUCGACCCCUAAGGCGAGGCCGAAAGGCGUAGUCGAUGGGAAACAGGUUAAUAUUCCUGUACUUGGUGUUACUGCGAAGGGGGGACGGAGAAGGCUAUGUUGGCCGGGCGACGGUUGUCCCGGUUUAAGCGUGUAGGCUGGUUUUCCAGGCAAAUCCGGAAAAUCAAGGCUGAGGCGUGAUGACGAGGCACUACGGUGCUGAAGCAACAAAUGCCCUGCUUCCAGGAAAAGCCUCUAAGCAUCAGGUAACAUCAAAUCGUACCCCAAACCGACACAGGUGGUCAGGUAGAGAAUACCAAGGCGCUUGAGAGAACUCGGGUGAAGGAACUAGGCAAAAUGGUGCCGUAACUUCGGGAGAAGGCACGCUGAUAUGUAGGUGAAGUCCCUCGCGGAUGGAGCUGAAAUCAGUCGAAGAUACCAGCUGGCUGCAACUGUUUAUUAAAAACACAGCACUGUGCAAACACGAAAGUGGACGUAUACGGUGUGACGCCUGCCCGGUGCCGGAAGGUUAAUUGAUGGGGUUAUCCGUAAGGAGAAGCUCUUGAUCGAAGCCCCGGUAAACGGCGGCCGUAACUAUAACGGUCCUAAGGUAGCGAAAUUCCUUGUCGGGUAAGUUCCGACCUGCACGAAUGG
rnacentral:rRNA from 1 species